rnacentral:lncRNA from 1 species
AGUUUGUUUUCUUACAAAGGGACAAUUUACAAAGGUGUGUGCAAGGAGUAGGGAGACCACGAAGGAAUCCUGCAAGUGCCCGGAGCUAGAAGCAGUAGAGCUGUUUUCACCCUACACCCAAAAGGACAAGAAGAGGAGGGAGAGGUUACUGGACCUCUGAAGAGAGAAUCUUGGAGAGCAGGCCCACCUUGAGGGGAGCUGUGUUAUUCUGAUGAGAAACACUGCCUGCGAUAUGCUAGGACAUGUGGGAGCUGAUUGUUCAUGUCUUUUCCCGACUCGGCCUUCAGUGAUGUAACAUUGGUAGCCACACAGGUUGUGGUGGUGAUAUUAUACCGCAGAAAUCAGUGAAUACUACAAACCAGAACUUUUUCUUUUCUUCUUUUCAGAGAGCCAGUUGUUAAACAUUUACAAGCACACUACUGGACACAGCCAGCCUGAGACAACCUCUUGAUGUGGGAGCUAAGAAAAACUCACACACAGACCUCACUCUCAAGAUAGAAGGAGGACCCGACUCCCCCAGGAGUCUCUUGGUGUGUGCUACUCGAACCAUCAAGCAUGUCUCCAGUUUCUUCGGAAAGACACUGGGGACUAGAGUGAAGGCAACCCAAUCUGGACACAUGAAUGUCGCAUUCGAGAAAAGGAAAACAGGAAAACGUGGAAUGAGACCUCAUUACAAGGGUUUACAGAAGCACACGUAGAUGCGCUCAGAUAUCUGCUCUCCAUCUGAAACCACAUUGGUGACUGUACAGAGGGUUGGGAGAAUCCAUCUGGAAUCAGAAAUUUCAGAAUCAAACAAUACUGUGUUAGUGUUCUGAAAUGGUGAAUUUUAAAAGGAAAAGAAGACUUUAAAACAAUUUAAUAAAGAUAACAUGGAAAGAAUCGUAACCA